UUUUAUUUUUCCCACCAUUAUUUUCAAGCAUCAUAAUCCAGUAAUCAUGUAAUAUUCAGAAAGAGAGCAUGAUCAGUCACAGCUCACAUCCACAACUUCUUCUCCUUAAACCCAAAUUGGCAUCACAUCACAUGUGAUGGUGGUCAUCAAAACUGUCAGUAUUAUUUCUCAAAGUGAAAGAAGAAGAAGAAGAAAGAAAAUUACAGACUACGUAGAGUGGCAGAAGAACAAACCCAACUUUUCCAAAAUGUCCAGUGAUGGCUGUAAAAUGUCAUAUUGUUACAGAAGACAGAUGGUAUGUCCAGUACUCCACCAUUCGGUCCAUUCCCCCCUUCCCCCUUUUUUGAUGUCAUCUGUGUGCUGCAUUAUUGUAAAUAAGUUCCAAUAUCAUCCUACAAAUCAACAAACUUAAAGAUUAACACUUCAAGUUAAGAUGCAUGCUGAUGGAUGAUGAUGAUAUUGUAAAUUUCGUAUGAUUCAGAAUUCAGACCCCAUGUGGGUUUCUGUUUUUAUUCCUGCUUGAAGAAGAACACAACAAAACAAAACGCAGAAAAAAACAAAGCAGAAAAAAAGAUGACCCACCAUCAUUUUUCUUCUUCUUUCCCACCAAUGUAGAUGAAACAUU
rnacentral:lncRNA from 1 species